GCUAAAACACUGAUCGGGAAUGCUUAUAAGAGAGCAACCAUUGAAAUUGUUAAGAGUGUACGCAAAAUGACAUUUGAAGAAUUUCUAAAUAACGGAGGAAAUGUUGAUUUAGCCAUUAGUGCUCAGGU